GUCUAUGGCCAUACUGCCCUGAAUGUGUCUCUUCUCAUCUGAUCUUGGAAGUUAAGCAGGGUUGGGCCUGAUUUUCUUGGGAGAAAAAAAAAAUUUAAAUUGAUGUCUUAAACU
rnacentral:rRNA from 1 species